rnacentral:rRNA from 1 species
GACGAACGCUGGCGGCGUGGAUUAGGCAUGCAAGUCGGACGGUAGGGCUUUAUCGUAAGAUAGAGUUUGAGAGUGGCGAACGGGUGAGUAACACGUGGGUGAUCUGCCCUGUACUUCGGGAUAAGCCCGGGAAACUGGGUCUAAUACCGGAUAGGACUGUGCCAUGCAUGUGGUGUGGUGGAAAGUUCCGGCGGUACAGGAUGGGCCCGCGGCCUAUCAGCUUGUUGGUGGGGUAAUGGCCUACCAAGGCGACGACGGGUAGCCGGCCUGAGAGGGUGACCGGCCACACUGGAACUGAGGCACGGUCCAGACUCCUACGGGGGGCAGCAGUGGGGAAUCUUCCACAAUGGGCGAAAGCCUGAUGGAGCGACGCCGCGUGAGCGAAGAAGGCCUUCGGGUUGUAAAGCUCUGUCUGGAGGGACGAAGGAAGUGACGGUACCUCCGGAGGAAGCCACGGCUAACUACGUG